rnacentral:rRNA from 1 species
CAGUCGCCGCGGUAAUACGUAGGGUGCGAGCGUUAAUCGGAAUUACUGGGCGUAAAGCGUGCGCAGGCGGUUGUACAAGACAGAUGUGAAAUCCCCGGGCUUAACCUGGGAAUGGCAUUUGUGACUGUACGGCUAGAGUGUGUCAGAGGGGGGUAGAAUUACACGUGUAGCAGUGAAAUGCGUAGAUAUGUGGAGGAAUACCGAUGGCGAAGGCAGCCCCCUGGGAUAACACUGACGCUCAUGCACGAAAGCGUGGGGAGCAAACAGGAUUAGAUACCCCCGUAGUCCCUGUCUCUUAUAC